UUCUUCCAUAUGUGAACUCUUGAUCUAGAAAGUUUGGUACUAUUUGAUAGGGUAGGCGAUUUGUGGUGAUUUGCUUACCGAUUUUGACAGAUGCUCCAAAAUUUAUGGAUUUGCAACAGUAAAGAAAGAGAGAAAGAAAUGGAUACUUAGGUAUUUUAUGUCUGAGAUUGAAUGAGGUAUCUGAGGCUUAACGAGGUUUUAAAAUUUUUGUACAAACAUGAAAUUGCUUUACCUUGGUCAUCUUAUCAUAUGUAAAGUUUUCAUUUUUCUCAAGUAUAUAAGCAGACUGGAAUAGUCAAGGUAAGAUACUUUAGUGCCAUUCUACAUCAUUGUAAUCAUAUUGUUUUAUCAAGUUGGAUUGCUCUUCUGCUCUUUUGACUUCUAUUCGAUUAAUUGUUCUUUUUUUUCCUCACAGAACUACAAGUUCAGAGGCUCUGCAUUCUGUUGUUUGUACCAGUUAUUGGUGGGUGAAAGAAAUUUUUCAUUAUGAGAAUUCAGAUCUCUGCAUCUAUCUAUGGUGUUUGUGUCAGUUAUGAUAUUUUGGAGUUAAUGGUUUGGAUUAGAACUAUAUUAGACAGAUAUCCGAGAGGGGAGUGUUUUAUUUUUCAGAUAAAACAUGACAUAUAUGUUUCAUUUUCACUAAUAGUAGCACAUAGGCUUUGUAUAUCAAAUACACAAGUUUUUAACAAAUGGAAAGAAAGGAAUUAAAGAAGUAAAGAAGGGAGUUAUGGAAGUGAUCUAUGAGAAACAAAAGUUGCAUCUAGACUGGAAAACAUUGCAAUCUAAUGGGUAUGUGCUGUCAAGCUUCUAUACAUAAAAGUAAGGGGCAUGUGUGUUGUUCAGGUCACUGAUUGUCGUAGUUUAUAGCAGUUUAGGUUGCUCAAAAAUUGAGUACUCUCAUAAUUUAUUAUGCUUAUAAUUUUAUUAUGCU
rnacentral:lncRNA from 1 species